rnacentral:rRNA from 1 species
UACGUAGGUGGCAAGCGUUAUCCGGAUUUAUUGGGCGUAAAGGGAACGCAGGCGGUCUUUUAAGUCUGAUGUGAAAGCUUUCGGCUUAACCGGAGUAGUGCAUUGGAAACUGGGAGACUUGAGUGCAGAAGAGGAGAGUGGAACUCCAUGUGUAGCGGUGAAAUGCGUAGAUAUAUGGAAGAACACCAGUGGCGAAAGCGGCUCUCUGGUCUGUAACUGACGCUGAGGUUCGAAAGCGUGGGUAGCAAACAGG